GUGAAAGUAGCUCAGUCGGUUAGAGCACCAGAUUGUGGAUCUGGGGGUCGCGGGUUCGAUUCCCGUCUUUCACC
rnacentral:tRNA from 1 species